GUACCCGUAGCUCAACUGGAUAGAGUACCUGACUACGGAUCAGGAGGUUGUAGGUUCAAAUCCUACCGGGUACG
rnacentral:tRNA from 1 species